UCAAUUGGCGAACCGAGCGUUAAGCGAGGUUUUGCGAUCAAAUUUAUAUUUAAAACCCAACUCUUAAAUAAUUUUAUAUAUAUUAUAAUGAAUCAUAAAAAAAAGA
rnacentral:misc_RNA from 1 species